GACGAACGCUGGCGGCGUGCUUAACACAUGCAAGUCGAGCGAGGCCCCUCCUUCGGGAGGGUGUCCUAGCGGCGAACGGGUGAGUAACACGUGGGCAACCUGCCCCCGGCUCUGGGAUAACUCCAAGAAAUUGGGGCUAAUACCGGAUAUGACCGCUGACCGCAUGGUCGGGUGGGGGAAAGAUUUAUCGGCUGGGGAUGGGCCCGCGGCCUAUCAGCUUGUUGGUGGGGUAGUGGCCUACCAAGGCGACGACGGGUAGCCGGCCUGAGAGGGUGACCGGCCACACUGGGACUGAGACACGGCCCAGACUCCUACGGGAGGCAGCAGUGGGGAAUAUUGCGCAAUGGGCGGAAGCCUGACGCAGCGACGCCGCGUGGGGGAUGACGGCCUUCGGGUUGUAAACCUCUUUCAGCAGGGACGAAGCGAAAGUGACGGUACCUGCAGAAGAAGCACCGGCCAACUACGUGCCAGCCGCCGCGGUAA
rnacentral:rRNA from 1 species